GUAGGUGAUCAACUGAUAACAUUCAGAUAUCUCAACAGAAUGAAAAACAAAAGACUAAUGAAAGCCAUCUAAAGAUGUUCCUGAAAAUGUUCCGAAUAAAGAACGAAGUAUUGAAUCAACAUGAUUUUUAUCAGUCUUUCUGGAUUCUCAUAUUGAGUUGCCCAGUGGAAUAAACAGAGAAUAACUAGUUUGCAAUGGUUCAGUUUCUUCACACAAUACACUGUCCGGUUCUAAAAAUGGAAGCGCAUGCAGGCAUACAUUUUUGGGGAGCCGAUUAUUCAAUAUCCUUGCCUUAGAGCUAAUUUAAUAAGUGUGCACUACUCUAUUUCGUUUUGCUGCGGCUUCCACCAGGCAGUUUGCAAAUUUUCCCCACUGCACUGUUCUUUCUUUUUCCUUACUAUUGCUGACUUUAUGUUUUAAUAUUCAGGUGCUUGACAAACCCAGCCACCGCCUUGAAGGUCAGUGCAGUGGUAAAUCACGAAACAACAUGCUGUCACAGCGCUCGUAAAACCCUGUGGUCAUCCCGCUGUUUAUGUGCUUGUAAUUCUGGAUCGUAAAGGCCACUGUGGGUGUGGAGCAGGUGUGUCAACCAGGUCUUCACAUAAGCCUGGCCAUUUUUCUAAAGUAUUAUGUCGGUUUGCAAAAUGCCCGUCAUGAGCUUGAUGCCAAGCUAAGCAAAACUUUGGCAAUGUCUGGAGAGCUACAUGUACAAGAAGAGAAGAACCCGGAGAAGAAAUUUGGAGAAUACACAGCUGACAUAAGAAAUGCCCUUGCACUAGAGGAGGAAGCAGAUGCCUGGAAAGCAAAUGGGGCAGCGCUAGAAGUCCAACUGUCAGCUCUGGUGCUUCAAACAACAAGCGCAAGUGAUAACAUGGUCACAGUGAUGCUGCUGUCAGAUGCUGUACAGGAGAACUUGGCCAAACAUAAGGAAAAGAAAUCAGCUGCAGCAUCUCUGAGGAAGAGCACCACCCUGCAGUGCGGCUGAGGACCCCUGACUUCUCAGCUGCACAAGACUCUGCAGGAAAUGGGAGUUCAUCGCCGGGCAGGCAUAUCAUGGAAAUGCAUUCGUUGAGAACCACGUGCACAAAUGUUGCCAGGAGGACAAUAUCAGAAAACCGACAUCCUCCAUUGUCCGGAAAACUGAGGAGUUGUACCCAGCUUCGCCUUCCAAGAUGCACA